rnacentral:lncRNA from 1 species
CUGAGGGGCCUUCCAGGGAGCUUCGGAGAACCCCACCUAUAACCCAAUCAGGGAGGUUGGUAGAAUGAAACCGAAAAGGAAGGAAAAAAGCAUGUACCUGCCAAGCUGGUUUCCGCUGGGUUAAAGGCCUCUGUGAAGGCAUCAUUUACCUAAAAUCAUCCAACAUUGACACUGUCACCAAGGUGGCAGUCCCUGAAUCUUGGGCCCGAGUCUCCUGCUCAAGAGGGUCACCUGUGACUCCCUCCUCUCUCAGGCCUUCCAAUACAGCCACAGCCACCCAUAUAAUUGCCCCCAAGUGCUUGGCUAGGUCUCAAUAGUGACAGGGUGCAGCUGGAAGAUCGACGUCUCAGGAGCUGAUUUACUUCUCGAAGAACCGAGUUGGACCUUACCACCACUCAUUUUGGCCCUGACCCCAUCCUGUCUUUGGGCCUGUGGAGCAGAGUGGUCAAGCCAUUCCUACUGCAGGGCAGCUGGAGUGGGGCCUUUAGAAUGAAUCUGAGCCAGAUUCCAGCAAAGUUCAACACACUCAAGCUCUGCACCCUCAGUGUGCAAGCGUGGAGGCAAGUCAGGACAGGAUGCAGCUUCAGGAGAUGAUGAUGGGUCACAGCAGUGCAGCCCAACCAGCGGCCACACC